AUUCACCACUAAGACAGUUUUAAAGUCAGAGCGAAGCUGUUUUGUUUGUACCACAUCAAAAUGCAGUAUUUCAGAAGAAACCGGUGGAUUGUGGGUGAUUGUAGGGCUGUUGAAGAAGGCAGUUUAUUUGUCAAGAAAACAUGUGUCAAGAAGACUGGCCAUGAUUACCAAGGACAGAAAUAAGAAGAACACAAAUGGCAGGAGAAGUUGGACAUCUCCUUCCUUGUCAAAACCAAAAUCCAACUUUUCUUAGCAUGGAAACGGACAAAGCAUGUUGACUGAACUGAGCUGUUGUGUUGAUUCUAAUUGCUAAAACUCAUCUGGAGUUUGGAGGUAAAACUGUUAGUAUAAUAACAACAACAACUAUGUGGUGGUCAAAUAAAAAUUGCCCUAGAAAAAUACCAUGGAAAAUACCAGACAUGUAACUUUUAAAAGUAUGAUGGCAAUGCAAGUUAUCAGUAUUCAUAUGUACCUUCCUCUCCCCACCCACACUUUUUGUUUGUUUGCUUUUGCAACAUCAUUUCCCCAACAGACUGAAUAAUUGCAUGUUCUGAUAAAGGCACAGUACUAUUUUACAGCAGCUGGUUUUAAAACCAAUACAAACAAAACAUGCUGUUGCUGAACAUAAAAUUGUCUGCUCUGCAUAUUAUGCUCUCUACAUAGACUACUUUAGAGGUGGCAUGAGUUACUCUCAUCUUUGCUGGGCUAUU